rnacentral:rRNA from 1 species
UACAGAGGGGGCAAGCGUUGUUCGGAAUUACUGGGCGUAAAGCGCACGUAGGCGGCUUUGUUAGUCAGGGGUGAAAUCCCGGGGCUCAACCUCGGAACUGCCUUUGAUACUGCAAAUCUCGAGUCCGAUAGAGGUAGGUGGAAUUCCUAGUGUAGAGGUGAAAUUCGUAGAUAUUAGGAAGAACACCGGUGGCGAAGGCGGCCCACUGGAUCGGUACUGACGCUGAGGUGCGAAAGCGUGGGGAGCAAACAGG